UUGUUAAGACUUUGCAUGUUGUAUAGAUCUGGACUUUGGACAUCUUAUUCUUGCACAUAUCCAAAUCUUCAUUUUCUUUUCUUGUAAAUUCAUACAACAGCAAUUUGCAAAGCCACAGGAAUCACAGGACUCCAGUGCAAUACCAUUGAAAUAUAACACCAUGUGCUCACACCCCACAGCAUUUCAUUCUCUGAGAAGGGUGCCUUCUGGGGUUAUGGAACACGGCAGACCUAUGGUGCCUGAUAUUUUUACAGAGAUGUGCUGUCCUUACAACUCACAUGUCCUUUCAUGACAGGCUCUGGUAGAACUUGGGAAAAACAACAGAAGGUCAAAGUGGACCAGGGAUUUUCUCAGAUCACACAGCUGGAGAAGGAAGCUAAAGUGAUUCCUCAUUACAAGACACAAAGAGCUGUGGCAAUAGAUGGAGUUCAAGACCAGGAGCUCACUGAACUUUUUGGUUGA
rnacentral:lncRNA from 1 species